GACGAACGCUGGCGGCGUGCUUAACACAUGCAAGUCGAACGGUGAAGUGCUUGCCUUUUUGGUGGGUGUGGAUGAGUGGCGAACGGGUGAGUAACACGUGAGUAACCUGCCCUCUUCUUCUGGAUAACCUCAUGAAAGUGGGGCUAAUACGGGGUAUUCCGGGUCUGUCGCAUGGCGGGUUUGGGAAAGAUUGCGCCUUUGGGUGUUUUCGGUGGGGGAUGGGCUCGCGGCCUAUCAGCUUGUUGGUGGGGUGAUGGCCUACCAAGGCGGUGACGGGUAGCCGGCCUGAGAGGGUGGACGGCCACACUGGGACUGAGACACGGCCCAGACGCCUGCGGGAGGCAGCAGUGGGGAAUAUUGCACAAUGGGCGCAAGCCUGAUGCAGCGACGCCGCGUGAGGGAUGGAGGCCUUCGGGUUGUGAACCUCUUUCGCCAGUGAAGCAGGCCUGCUCCUGUGUGGGUGGGUUGACGGUAGCUGGAGAAGAAGCGCCGGCUAACUACGUG
rnacentral:rRNA from 1 species